GGUUUGUGGCUCAGCGGUAGAGCGCUCGCCUAGCAUGUGUGAGGUGCUGGGUUCGAUCCUCAGCACCA
rnacentral:tRNA from 1 species